GACGAACGCUGGCGGCGUGCCUAAUACAUGCAAGUAGAACGCACAGUUUAUACCGUAGCUUGCUACACCAUAAACUGUGAGUUGCGAACGGGUGAGUAACGCGUAGGUAACCUGCCUGGUAGCGGGGGAUAACUAUUGGAAACGAUAGCUAAUACCGCAUAAUAUUAAUUAUUGCAUGAUAAUUGAUUGAAAGAUGCAAUUGCAUCACUACCAGAUGGACCUGCGUUGUAUUAGCUAGUAGGUGAGGUAACGGCUCACCUAGGCGACGAUACAUAGCCGACCUGAGAGGGUGAUCGGCCACACUGGGACUGAGACACGGCCCAGACUCCUACGGGAGGCAGCAGUAGGGAAGCUUCGGCAAUGGACGAAAGUCUGACCGAGCAACGCCGCGUGAGUGAAGAAGGUUUUCGGAUCGUAAAGCUCUGUUGUAAGAGAAGAACGGGUGUGAGAGUGGAAAGUUCACACUGUGACGGUAUCUUACCAGAAAGGGACGGCUAACUACGUG
rnacentral:rRNA from 1 species